rnacentral:rRNA from 1 species
GAGGAAUAUUGGUCAAUGGGCGCAAGCCUGAACCAGCCAAGUAGCGUGCAGGAAGACGGCCCUAUGGGUUGUAAACUGCUUUUAUACGAGAAUAAUUUGAUGCACGUGUGCGUUAUUGCAUGUAUCGUAUGAAUAAGGACCGGCUAAUUCCGUGCCAGCAGCCGCGGUAAUACGGAAGGUCCAGGCGUUAUCCGGAUUUAUUGGGUUUAAAGGGAGUGUAGGCGGUUUGUUAAGCGUGUUGUGAAAUUUAGAUGCUCAACAUUUAACUUGCAGCGCGAACUGUCAGACUUGAGUACACGCAACGUAUGCGGAAUUCAUGGUGUAGCGGUGAAAUGCUUAGAUAUCAUGAAGAACUCCGAUUGCGAAGGCAGCAUACGGGAGUGUAACUGACGCUUAAGCUCGAAGGUGCGGGUAUCGAACAGGAUUAGAUACCCUGGUAGUCCGCACAGUAAACGAUGGAUGCCCGCUGUUGGUACCUGGUAUCAGCGGCUAAGCGAAAGCAUUAAGCAUCCCACCUGGGGAGUACGCCGGCAACGGUG